rnacentral:rRNA from 1 species
UCAGCCCAUGACACCUUGCUUAGCCACACCCUCAAGGGACUUCAGCAGUGAUAAACAUUAAGCUAUAAGUGAAAACUUGACUUAGUUAAAGCUAAAAGAGCCGGUAAAACUCGUGCCAGCCACCGCGGUUAUACGAGAGGCUCAAGUUGAUAGACAACGGCGUAAAGAGUGGUUAAGGAGCCCAUUAAAACUAAAGCCGAACGCCCUCAGAACUGUUAUACGUUUCCGAAGGUAAGAAGCCCCACUACGAAAGUGACUUUACUCCCCCUGACCCCACGAAAGCUGCGAAACAAACUGGGAUUAGAUACCCCAUUAUGCCCAGCCCUAAACUUUGAUAGUUUAUUACACCCACUAUCCGCCAGGGUACUACGAGCAUUAGCUUAAAACCCAAAGGACUUGGCGGUGCUUUACAUCCACCUAGAGGAGCCUGUUCUAGAACCGAUAACCCCCGUUAAACCUCACCCUCCCUUGUUUUUUCC